CGACUAGAAGCAGGCGUCGCCGAUCGCAGGUCGGCACGGUCGUCAGAGCAGCGAGAGAAACAGUUCGCACUAGGCCCCGCGACAAAUCGUACGUCCAUUGAUUUGCACGACAGAAAAUUGCAACCGUACAUUUUGGACUACUAGCGUGAAAAAGUCGUGAAAACGAAAGAAAAGCCGGAAGUGGUACUUGAGGUGCCCUGUGCAUGAUUGUUAAGUCGCAUAAUUCCUUGCAAGGAAUUCGAAGCAGAAUCGGGUCAUCUUGUGUGACGAAUCUACGAGCGCGUGGUCUGGAAUAGAAGCCGUUUAGAGGGCACUGAUUUGGAUACUAAAUCCGGACCAUCCGGAAAAUAGUUAUCUGACAGAUUCAGGCCUCUCCACUCUCCGGCACCGAAUAAAACUCCGAUACGUGACGUCAGCGGUUGCUUCAGUUACAGGCCACUGCUAGGUCCCAAUUCAGCCAAGGCAGGGAGCACGUCGGCGCUUGAGACCCCGUCAACCAGUGGAUACCCGCAAGCGCACCAGACGCGAAAAGGCAGUGGAGCUUGGAUUAGCAUCGCCCGCAGGAAGAGAAGCCCCAUCAAGGGGCUUCUUUCGCAGGUUUGAUUUUCGUGUCGGGAGCCAAGCGGUGAAACGGGGCGAGUGGUGGCGAAACGACGGCAGUAGGCCACGACCUUUGGACGAUUUCGAGAUUCUGUCGGCGAGUGAACCUAGCGCGAGACGGAAGGAGAAUAGCAGGGCUAGCUGGCUGUGCGAACGUUCGGCAUCGAAGGCUCCGCUCGAGCGGCAACGCGUGACAGGCAAGGCGCGCGCUGAGGAGAGCGCGGCCAGGCCGCUCGGUCAGGCAGGGCUGGCUCGGCCCUGAGCAGCCACUAUGAUGCAGCAAAUCGUGAGUCAGUGCACCUAAAUAAGAUUAGAAUCUCACAGAGUAGGAGAAGUAGGAGCCCAGAGCAGGGAAAAAUGAAAAGCGUUAUGAAUAUAAUGUGUUGAAUCAUGA